AGUCGAACGCGCAGCACUCUGUAGCAAUACAGGGUGUGGGCGCGUGGCGAACGGGUGCGUAACACGUGGAUAACCUUCCUUCAGGUGGGGAAUAACCCCGCGAAAGCGGGGCUAAUACCGCAUAACAAAACGAUGAGACAUCUUGUUGUUUUCAAAGGCGCAAGUCGCCAGAAGAGGGAUCCGCGGCCGAUUAGCUUGUUGGCGGGGUAAUGGCCCACCAAGGCAAUGAUCGGUAGCCGGACUGAGAGGUUGGCCGGCCACACUGGAACUGAGACACGGUCCAGACUCCUACGGGAGGCAGCAGUGGGGAAUCUUGCACAAUGGGCGAAAGCCUGAUGCAGCAACGCCGCGUGGGGGAUGAAGCUUCUCGGAGUGUAAACCCCUUUCGACCCGGAAGAAAGCCCGCAAGGGUUUGACGGUACGGGUAUAAGAAGCCCCGGCUAACUACGUGCCAGCAGCCGCGGUAAAACGUAGGGGGCCAGCGUUGCUCGGAAUUACUGGGCGUAAAGGGUCCGUAGGCGGUGUGGCAAGUCGGUAGUGAAAUCUCUGGGCUUAACCCAGAGGCUGCUGCCGAAACUGCCGUGCUAGAGUGUGAGAGAGGCGAGUGGAAUUACGGGUGUAGCGGUGAAAUGCGUAGAUAUCCGUAGGAACAUCCGAGGCGAAAGCGGCUCGCUGGAUCACAACUGACGCUGAGGGACGAAAGCUAGGGGAGCAAACAGGAUUAGAUACCCUGGUAGUCCUA
rnacentral:rRNA from 1 species